rnacentral:rRNA from 1 species
CUCUGGUCUGUAACUGACGCUGAGGAGCGAAAGCGUGGGGAGCGAACAGGAUUAGAUACCCUGGUAGUCCACGCCGUAAACGAUGAGUGCUAAGUGUUAGGGGGUUUCCGCCCCUUAGUGCUGCAGCUAACGCAUUAAGCACUCCGCCUGGGGAGUACGGUCGCAAGACUGAAACUCAAAGGAAUUGACGGGGGCCCGCACAAGCGGUGGAGCAUGUGGUUUAAUUCGAAGCAACGCGAAGAACCUUACCAGGUCUUGACAUCCUCUGACAAUCCUAGAGAUAGGACGUCCCCUUCGGGGGCAGAGUGACAGGUGGUGCAUGGUUGUCGUCAGCUCGUGUCGUGAGAUGUUGGGUUAAGUCCCGCAACGAGCGCAACCCUUGAUCUUAGUUGCCAGCAUUCAGUUGGGCACUCUAAGGUGACUGCCGGUGACAAACCGGAGGAAGGUGGGGAUGACGUCAAAUCAUCAUGCCCCUUAUGACCUGGGCUACACACGUGCUACAAUGGACAGAACAAAGGGCAGCGAAACCGCGAGGUUAAGCCAAUCCCACAAAUCUGUUCUCAGUUCGGAUCGCAGUCUGCAACUCGACUGCGUGAAGCUGGAAUCGCUAGUAAUCGCGGAUCAGCAUGCCGCGGUGAAUACGUUCCCUGGGCCUUGUACACACCGCCCGUCACACCACGAGAGUUUGUAACACCCGAGUCGGUGAGUUAACCUUUUAAGGAGCCAGCCGCCGAAGUGGACGGAUGAUUGGGGUGAAGUCGUACAAGGUAACAGAUC